CCCUUAGAUGUUCUGGGCCGCACACGCGCUACACUGAAGGAGGCAGCGUGUACUCCUGGAUCGAAAGAUUUGGGUAACCCGCGAAUCUCCUUCGUGCUAGGGAUUGAGGUUUGCAAUUUUCCUUCAUGAACGAGGAAUUCCCAGUAAGUGCAAGUCAUAAGCUUGCGCUGACUACGUCCCUGCCCUUUGUACACACCGCCCGUCGCUACUACCGAUUGAAUGAUUUAGUGAGGACUUCGGACUGGGACCGAUGCGGCUUUCGGGCUGCGUCGGUAUUCUGGAAAGAUGUCCAAACUGUAUCAUUUAGAGGAAGUAAAAGUCGUAACA
rnacentral:rRNA from 1 species